CUUUGAUGCUGUGAGAAUAUUGAUAGCAGCACCCAGGUCAUGGGAAACUGAGAUCUUUGUGUCACACCUCUGAGCAGUGGAAGUUGUCUUGGAAAACCAUUCCUUGCUGCACAGAGUGUGAUAGUCAAAAAUCCCAACAGCCCCUUUGUCAUGCUGAGUAUAAAAACAUAAAAGCUGAGUUUCUGGUUGAACACCUGAGAAAUUAGCUGGGUAAUUUUGGUUUGACCCAAACCAAUUUUGGUUUGGCUAAAUUUCAAAGUAAGUUUUCUUUUAAAAAAUGAUUUUGUUUUGGUUUUUUUUUUUUUAUAGAAAACCAUAUUUGGUUACUGUGGAGUAAUGUUCUUGGAUGCAUUCUCUUUCUCUGAAGCUUUAACUUGUGUUAGUGGAAUUUGAUGGUAACUUUUGUGAUGGUAAAAUUCCCCUGUGUUUGUCCAGGUUUAUUUCUUUGCCACACAGAGAAAGUACAAGAUUUUUCUUCUUCUCCAAAGAUGAUGAACGACUGAGAGAGGGCCCUAAGUUAUUUUGUAGAUCAGUAGAUCUCAGUGAAGAAAAAGAUGGUUGGGAAGACAGACGUAGAUUAUUGCUUGAGGAAUGCCGGAAGAAGCACAAGGAUGCAAAAAGAAAAGUGAAAGCAAAACAAUAAAUAUUUUUUACCUUCCUGAUCAGAAAUGUUUCAUGUUUCAUCUCUGAAGAAGUUGCAAAACAAUGUUACUUUCAAAAUACUUCCAGAAAUCUAGUGGGAAAUAAUAAUUUUGGCAAAAACUACUCAGACUUUGUUUCUACAUAGGAACAUGUUUAUUCUGUCAGUUCAAGGUUUGUACCAAGGUCUGGGGAUUUGUAUGUGUGUGUACAUAUAUAUGUAUAUAUAAAUAUA